AACGAACGCUGGCGGCGUGCCUAAGACAUGCAAGUCGUGCGGAAAGGCUCCUUCGGGAGUACUCGAGCGGCGCACGGGUGAGUAACACGUGGGUAAUCUGCCUGAGGGUCUGGGAUAACCCCGGGAAACUGGGGCUAAUACCGGAUGAGACCACGGAGCCUUCGGGCUCUGCGGCCAAAGAUGGCCUCUCCUUGGAAGCUAUCGCCCACAGAUGAGCCCGCGUCCCAUUAGCUAGUUGGCGGGGUAACGGCCCACCAAGGCGACGAUGGGUAGCUGGUCUGAGAGGAUGAUCAGCCACACUGGAACUGAGACACGGUCCAGACUCCUACGGGAGGCAGCAGUCGGGAAUUUUGGGCAAUGGGCGAAAGCCUGACCCAGCAACGCCGCGUGAGGGAUGAAGGCCUUCGGGUCGUAAACCUCUGUCGGGAGGGACGAAAGGUCGACGAGCGAACAGGUCGUCGGCUUGACGGUACCUCCAAAGGAAGCGCCGGCUAACUCCGUGCCAGCCGCCGCGGUAAAAC
rnacentral:rRNA from 1 species